rnacentral:rRNA from 1 species
AUUGAACGCUGGCGGCAGGCCUAACACAUGCAAGUCGAACGGCAGCGGGGGGUAGCUUGCUACCCCGCCGGCGAGUGGCGGACGGGUGAGUAAUGCCUGGGGAGCUGCCCAAUCGAGGGGGAUACCAGUUGGAAACGACUGCUAAUACCGCAUACGCCCUGAGGGGGAAAGGUGGGGAUCUUCGGACCUAUCGCGAUUGGAUGCACCCAGGUGGGAUUAGCUAGUUGGUGAGGUAACGGCUCACCAAGGCGACGAUCUCUAGCUGGUCUGAGAGGAUGACCAGCCACACUGGAACUGAGACACGGUCCAGACUCCUACGGGAGGCAGCAGUGGGGAAUAUUGCACAAUGGGGGGAACCCUGAUGCAGCCAUGCCGCGUGUGUGAAGAAGGCCUUCGGGUUGUAAAGCACUUUCAGCGAGGAGGAAAGGGUGGCAGCUAAUACCUGUCAUCUGUGACGUUACUCGCAGAAGAAGCACCGGCUAACUCCGUGCCAGCAGCCGCCGUAA